rnacentral:rRNA from 1 species
CAGUAGCCGCGGUAAUACGUAGGUGGCAAGCGUUGUCCGGAAUUAUUGGGCGUAAAGGGCUCGCAGGCGGUUUCUUAAGUCUGAUGUGAAAGCCCCCGGCUCAACCGGGGAGGGUCAUUGGAAACUGGGAAACUUGAGUGCAGAAGAGGAAAGUGGAAUUCCACGUGUAGCGGUGAAAUGCGUAGAGAUGUGGAGGAACACCAGUGGCGAAGGCGACUCUCUGGUCUGUAACUGACGCUGAGGAGCGAAAGCGUGAGGAGCGAACAGGAUUAGAUACCCCGGUAGUCCCUGUCUCUUAUAC